rnacentral:rRNA from 1 species
GAUCAUGGCUCAGGAUGAACGCUGGCGGCGUGCUUAACACAUGCAAGUCGAACGAAGCACUUUAACCUGAUUCUUCGGAUGAAGGUUUUUGUGACUGAGUGGCGGACGGGUGAGUAACGCGUGGGUAACCUGCCUUAUACAGGGGGAUAACAGUUAGAAAUGACUGCUAAUACCGCAUAAGCGCACAGGAUUGCAUGAUCUGGUGUGAAAAACUCCGGUGGUAUAAGAUGGACCCGCG